ACUGGAUCUACAAAUAAUGUUGGGUCUGUGUUUGGAAAUGAGGGUGGGGGCUCGGGUGCUCGAAACAGUCCACGACCGGUUGAUCAUGACAUCCGAGGCGAAUCUGGCGAGAUUGGCCCUGGAGGUGAAGGCAUGCAUACAACUUCGGGAGAACAAGGAUUCCAAGUUUCUAGGCCACGCGUCCUUCAAGUGAACCCUUCACAUCCAAGCCCCCCAUUGUUUAUGUUCACACAGGGUGGUCAAGCCGGGGAGCCAAGUGGAGUGAGAGAGGUCAUUAAAGACGACAAGGAUACUUCCUCUGAAGCAAGCGACAUUGAUGGUGGGUUUUGAUGACAAUCAGAACUAAGGUGUUACAGUUGGGAAAAAGAUGUUAUAUAAUGUGAUAUAUCUACGGGGUCGUACUAUUUUGGUGUAAAAAUGGUUUAGGGUUACUGAAGCUAGGCCGAGGGUUUGUUUUUGUGGAUUUUAAAACUUUGUAUUAGCCGGCUAUGAAUUGGUAGUGGGGUUGGUUUGGUUUUUUGUGGAACAAAUAGCCGGCUAAGGAAAAGUUUGUCCUCUUGUAUGUUUGUUUAGUUGGUCAUGACAUGAAGCGUGUAACCUAAGUUAAUGUUUAAUAUUACCUAAAUUUAGAAUUA